CGGNUGAUCCUGCCGGAGGUCACUGCUAUCGGGGUUCGAUUAAGCCAUGCGAGUUGAGAGGGUUAAGACCCUCAGCGGACUGCUCAGUAACACGUGGAUAACCUGCCCUGAGGUGGAGAAUAACCCCGGGAAACUGGGGAUAAUACUCCAUAGACUAGAGCUACUGGAAUGUUCUUUAGUCGAAAGUUGGGGCGCCUUAGGAUGGAUCUGCGGUCGAUUAGGUUGUUGUUGGGGUAACGGCCCAACAAGCCUGUAAUCGAUACGGGUUGUGGGAGCAAGAGCCCGGAGAUGGAAUCUGAGACACGAUUCCAGGCCCUACGGGGCGCAGCAGGCGCGAAAACUUUACAAUGCAGGAAACUGUGAUAAGGGAACCCCGAGUGCCCGUAUACGCGGGCUGUCCAGGUGUUUAAAAAGCAUCUGAAGAAAGGGCCGGGCAAGACCGGUGCCAGCCGCCGCGGUAAUACCGGCGGCUCGAGUGGUGGCCACUAUUAUUGGGCUUAAAGCGUCCGUAGCUGGACCCUUAAGUCUCUUGGGAAAUCCGCCGGCUUAACCGGCGGGCAUCCAGGAGAUACUGAGUGUCUAGGGACCGGGAGAGGUGAGAGGUACUCCGGGGGGUAGGAGUGAAAUCCUGUAAUCCCCGGGGGACCACCGAUGGCGAAGGCAUCUCACCAGAACGGCUCCGACAGUGAGGGACGAAAGCUGGGGGAGCGAACCGGAUUAGAUACCCGGGUAGUCCCAGCCGUAAACUAUGCGCGUUAGGUGUACUGGUGACCAUGAGUCACUGGGGUGCCGAAGGGAAACCGUGAAACGUGCCGCCUGGGAAGUACGGUCGCAAGGCUGAAACUUAAAGGAAUUGGCGGGGGAGCACAAGGGCGAAUUCUGCAGAUNUCCAUCAC
rnacentral:rRNA from 1 species